UUCCUGGUAGCUCAGCCGGUAGAGUAUCUGCCUGCAGUGCAGGAGACCUGGGUUCGAUCCCUGGGUUGGGAA
rfam:Ovis aries breed Texel chromosome 7, whole genome shotgun sequence.